rnacentral:rRNA from 1 species
GACGAACCGUACAAACGUUAUUCGGAAUUAUUGGGUUUAAAGGGUGCGUAGGCGGUGCGAUAAGUUGGGUGUGAAAUACCUUGGCUCAACCAAGGAAUUGCGCCCAAUACUGUCGUGCUUGAGGGAGACAGAGGUGAGCGGAACUGAUGGCGGAGCGGUGAAAUGCGUUGAUAUCAUCAGGAACACCAGUGGCGAAAGCGGCUCGCUGGGUCGCUUCUGACGCUGAGGCACGAAAGCUAGGGUAGCGAACAGG